rnacentral:rRNA from 1 species
CAUUAAAGAUUUUGGGCUUUUAACCCGAUCGUUCAGCUGUGCGCCUUUUACCGGGCUGCACGCUGAAGCAAGACCCCACACCUGUGCACCUUUUCGGUUGCGGCUUCGGUCGCUGCCGCUUUCAAAUGCAACAACUCAGUCUCGAAUGUUAACAAAACCAUAAAAAGUAACAACUUUCAACAACGGAUCUCUUGGCUCUCGCAUCGAUGAAGAACGCAGCGAAAUGCGAUAAGUAAUGUGAAUUGCAGAAUUCAGUGAAUCAUCGAAUCUUUGAACGCAUCUUGCGCUCCUUGGUAUUCCAUGGAGCAUGCCUGUUUGAGUGUCACGUAAACCCUCACCCCUGCGAUGUAACAGUCGCUCGCGGUGGACUUGGACAGUGCCGUAACCGGCUCGUCUUGAAAUGCAUUAGCUGGCGCUUUUAGAGUGCUGGGCGACGGUGUGAUAAUUAUCUGCGCCAAUGCCUUAGGCCUCUUCAGCGGUGCUGCUUACAGCCGUCCCUCUGCGGACACA